rnacentral:rRNA from 1 species
UACGAAGGGGGCUAGCGUUGCUCGGAUUGACUGGGCGUAAAGGGCGCGUAGGCGGUUCGUACAGUCAGACGUGAAAUUCCUGGGCUCAACCUGGGGGCUGCGUUUGAUACGUGCGGACUUGAGUGCGGAAGAGGGUCGUGGAAUUCCCAGUGUAGAGGUGAAAUUCGUAGAUAUCGGGAGGAACACCGGUGGCGAAGGCGGCGACCUGGGUCGAGACUGACGCUGAGGCGCGAAAGCGUGGGGGAGCAAACAGG